CGGGAUGUAGCGCAGCUUGGUAGCGCAUCUGCUUUGGGAGCAGAGGGUCGCAGGUUCAAAUCCUGUCAUCCCGACCA
rnacentral:tRNA from 1 species